AGAGUUUGAUCCUGGCUCAGAAUCAACGCUGGCGGCGCGCUUAACACAUGCAAGUCGAACGAGAAAGGGGCUUCGGCCCUGAGUAAAGUGGCGCACGGGUGAGUAACACGUGGGUAACCUGCCUCUAAGACUGGGAUAACUCGUCGAAAGAUGAGCUAAUACCGGAUAAGACCACAGCUCCUGCGGGGACAGGGGCCAAAGGUAGCCUAUGCUUGCAAGCUAUCACUUAGAGAUGGGCCUGCGCACCAUUAGCUAGUUGGUAGGGUAACGGCCUACCAAGGCAAAGAUGGUUAGCUGGUCUGAGAGGAUGAUCAGCCACACUGGAACUGAGACACGGUCCAGACUCCUACGGGAGGCAGCAGUGGGGAAUAUUGCGCAAUGGGCGAAAGCCUGACGCAGCAACGCCGCGUGAGUGAUGAAGGCCUUCGGGUCGUAAAGCUCUGUCGGAGGGAACGAAUGCUCCCGGGGUUAACAGCCUCGGGAAGUGACGGUACCCUCAAAGGAAGCACCGGCUAACUCUGUGCCAGCAGCCGCGGUAAUACAGAGGGUGCAAGCGUUGUUCGG
rnacentral:rRNA from 1 species